GACAGAAACCAGGCAGGACAGAAACUCAUGUUACACUGAUCUAAGGCUUUCUUCUCUUCUUUUGACAUUAUUUCAGAUUUUUAUUCUAGUCUGCCUUUAGUACCCUGGACUUGAUUUUGGUUGAUGUGUAAGCAAGACAUUCUGUUCACAGAUAUCAAAUAUCUCUGAAAGAUUUUAGUCUAUAGGAAUACUAUGGGAAGAUAGCAUUAACAGCAUUGUUAGUCAUAAAAGAGGUAUUUUUCUCCUACAUAUGUGUUUUAGAAGAUGGUGGAGGGGCAUCAGCAUCCAUUCAGAUUUUCAGGGUUAUAAGGUGCACCAAGUGAGAAAAAGAGAGGUAAAAUGGAAUCAGAGUCACUAUAGCAACUAUGCAAGGACAGCUCCAUGCUAUCACAUAUGAGUUAACCUGUUUUGUAUAGUAAUAUCUGAACACCAUAAUAGGAUAAUUGGUGAGGAACAUCUGCAUCUAAACCUAGUAAUCUACUGUAGAAGAAUCAUAUACAAAUGAAAAAUAAUAUAAUCUACACAUGAACCUUAUAUCACACAUAGUUGUGUAUAUAUAAAAUAGAUAUAACAUAUAUAUUACACCCACAUAUUCCCUACACAAUUAUGUGUAUUAACUAAUUCAUAAACAAUUGGUUUUUGUAUUCAUGGGAUUCUUUCUCAAAUUCAACCAACUUUAACUGGAAAAUAUUAAGUAAAACUUUUUAUGAGCUGAAUGUGUAUGAAUCUUUUCUGUUGUUCUAAUUUAUUGAAGAUCAGUAAGAGGGCUAUUUCUGUAGUAAUUACAUUAUGUUUGAUUUUCAAAUAAUCUAGAGGCUACUUAAGAUACAUAAGAUGAUAUAUGUGUGUGAAAUGCAUAUAUAUCCUUCAAUUUAAUAUAAAGGAAUUAAAUAUCAUUGAAGUUUAGUGCUUGUGAGAAAUCUUGGAACAAAUCUAUGAUGCUGAAGACAGAAAUGUAUAUGUUUGUAUAUGUGUACACUUCUCCCUGUUCAUCUACUCCUGUGGGUGUAUGUGUAUGUGUGAAUAUAUAUAUAUAUUCCUAUGUGUUCUGUGUGUGCAUAUCUAUGUUGGGUGUGUCUGGUCCUCUGCACUUGUGUAUGUGUUUUAUCCAUUCACAACAACCUUAUAAACUAGGCUUAUCAUUCUUUUAUUGCAGAAAAAACAUUAAUUGCUAAUGCUAGAGAAUCUUCUGGAAUCUGCAUUCCUCAUUUGAGAAAAAUUUUAUAUUACUUGAAGGAAAGAUUUGGCAAAAUUUAGUGAAGGCUUCAGCAAGGCGUAGGGAAAUUAGUAGAUUUAGCAAACAUGGACCAAGGCACUGCCCUGAAAGAGCAAGCGCUGACUGUAAAGCUGGAUUUGGAUGGCUGUAGAGGCUUCUUCUUUCAUCUGUGACUAAUUUAGGGAGGUGUUGAUCAGACUCUUGUGUGAAUGUAGAAAACUGUGAUGAACUUUUAUUGAAUGAUAGACCCAAGGGGGUUUUACUCCCAUUGCUUCAUUGUAGAAAUAAGAAAUUGAAGACAAGAGGGGGUGUCAUUGUCUCAAACUGAAAAGCCAGAGCACAUUGGGGCCAGGAUUCAAAUGAGGAAGACAGCACCAAGACCUUAUCUCCUAACAGCUAAGAUGAUGUGCUAACACAGUAGUCUGAAAAUAAUGCAGUUGGGGGGACAGUCAGUUGUCAUGGAAAUACCAUUAAUUCAUUAAGAGACCCUCACAUUUAUUGAAUAAUUGCACAGGAUAGUGUUUCAUGAAGUAGUAGAGGUUCAAAUGGUUCCAUUUCAUUUCCCAUGAGUCUCUUAGGCAUUACUCAUUAUGUCCCCUUAGUAUUUCUUGACCAGUUGUUAGAGUAGCAAAUAAUUUCUCAAUCAUGAAUGUAGUAUGUUUCCUGUUACAAAGCAUACACAAUCCAUACAAUAUUAUAAUCCAUGUGAGAACAUAGGAAAGUUAUACCUUUUAAAACUCCAGAGUAAAUGGAUUCUAUUUUCGAUUGGUGUCAUUUGUGGGAAAAGAGGCCACACCCCAACCUCACUGGAAACAAACCACUGUCUCCACACUCAUACACCCCAACUCCCACUCUCACGUACCCCAAGCCUCACACGCAUGUAUAUGCACUCCAACUCUUAUGUCAUAAACCCCAGUUCUCACACUUGCACACCUAAGCAUCCAUAUCAGCAUACCCAAGCCAACCCCACAACUCAGUCCUUAAACUCCAGACCCCACAGCUACCCACACCCAUCCUCGAUACUUACUAAUUGUUCCUUAUCAAGAAUGAUUUCUACCCUUUUAUGACAAGUUUCAAUUUCUAAAUUUAUGACCCAGAGGCUAUGGAGAAUUUUGAAAGGACAUGGAAAGCAUUAGGGCUGAGCAAGGAAGAAGAGAGUCAAGAGAACUGUCUUGGGAAGGGCUGAGUAUAGAGCCCUCUCCUGUUGAGGCUGAAAAUUAUGUUAAUAGACCUCACCUGCUGUCUCUUGUUCCGAGAAACAGGGGCUGAUGGCAUUUGAUAUCUUCCCUCAUUUGAUAUGUUUUCCAUCUAUCAGGACACAGCACACAAAUCAAACAUGUGACACACACACACACACACACACACACACACACACACACACACACACACAAAUGCCCUGUUAAGAUUUCCUCUAACUGACAACCUUAGAGAAACCAUGUAUUAAACUCUCCCAGCUGUUUUGUUUGUUUGUUUUAAGGCUACCUUUAUUAGUGAACCUGUGUAUAGCACUUACAUAAUGGGACUCUUUUAAGUCAUGGCUUAGUUGUUCAGAAUAGCACCUUUUUAGAACGCCUUUGCUCCUGCCAUUCAAACAAUUUGCUGUUACAUAAAACAAACCACUAUCACUCAUAGUAUCAUAGGAUUAAAUUUAAUUAACAAAAAUAUCAAAAGAACAUAAAAUUAGCAUUAAGCAAGCAGGAAGUCAAUGAUAUUAAGAACUCCUGGGGCAUCUCAGUCCUUAAACAUUACACUUACCUCAUUUAUGUCACUGAUAAUGUUUAAAAUAAUCCUCAUUAUCUCAACAGCCAUCGAAGCUGCUUGCUGCUUUCUGGGGUUUACACAUCUCCCAAUUUUCCUCCCAACUAUUCUGCUGAGUGAGCGAAGAUAAUGCCAGUCUCAGAGAGACCUGAGGGAUGAAUUGUUUAAACAGCUCAACAGGAAAAGAUGAAGCACGAAAAGGGAUCACGAAAAAGGAGGGAGAGACCAAGAAUGAGCUGGUUAUUAUGGUGACCAUGACAGAGGAGUGAAAAUCAAUAAAUACUUUAUGGGGAACAGAGAAAACCUCCUCAACUUUAAGGAGUACAAAAUCAAAGCAAAUGACAAUGUCUGGGCUGCCAGGAACGAACAAACAGCCUUCUGUCUACAUGCUUCCUCUCCCCUGCUCUCUGAGAGGACUGAAUUGUUUUCCUCUUCCUCUGGAUUCUUAACUGAAGAAAGAUAAGAUAAAAGAAUGCUGGAUGGUAUUCAUAGACACUCAUAGUUUCUAUGGCAUGUAAGAAACUGAACAGUGCUGAGUGGUUAGGAAUUCAGGAGGGAGGAGCAUUUUGAGAUGAUGUUGGAGGCAGAAACCUGAAAGUGUGGAGAGAGAGGAAAGAAAAGGAAAAAGAAAAGAGGGGCCUGAAGGCUUAUUAUCUGGAAUGAAGUAUUGUAUGGAACAUACAUCUCUAAAUAUUAGUAUUUUGGUACUUGAAAAUGGUUAAUUUUUUUCAACAUUGAAAUCUAUUAGAGAUAGAUACAGAGACGGGUAGACAGACAGGGGAGAGAGAAAGGUUAGUUGACAUUCAUACUACUAGGAAAACCUGUAAACCGUAUUGUUCUCACAGGAAUCGAAUCAGUGGUACUGUGGGUAUCUUUAGAAUUAAAAGGUGGCAGAGUCUCUCGCUCUGAAUGGAUGGAUCUGAGUAACAUUAACCUUUUCACUUGCUCUAACAAAGACAAGUGAAGACAAGAUGUACCAUGACUGCUUCCUGGCUAUUUUGUGUCUAGCCCAAGGCCCUCUGCACCUGACAAUUAUCUCACACUUCAGAACUAAUUUUCUACAUGUUUUCUUACACUGUAUUUGCACUAACCCUACAAUACACAAUCUCAUUAACUCAUUUCUUUAAGGAAAGGAGCUUUUUGUGAGGAUGUACAAGACAUACUUAUUCAACAAGAUAAUAAUGGAGUAUAUCUUUAUAGCUUUUGUUAAUAAUAUUGGCCCCCAUCCAAAGUACAUGUGAUUUUGUUCCUCUUUGGCUUUGUAAAUAUGACAUUUUGUACUAUUUAAAGCAGGAAUGCUGAUUAUUUUAUUCCUAGUCCUGAAUUUGAGUGUUCAGGUUGGUCAGUUUUAGGCUGAUGCAAAAAUGAUAGAGAAAUACAAUUGUAAUAUAGAAACUGACAUUUCAACAGCAGUAAUCUUAUUAAAUAAAUA